GUGCUCACUUCGGCAGCACAUAUACUAAAAUUGUAAUGAUACAGAGAAGAUUAGCAUGGCCCUGUGCAAGGAUGAGGAUGACAUGCAAAUUCAUGAAAAAUGAUGUG